UACGUAGGGGGCUAGCGUUGUCCGGAAUUAUUGGGCGUAAAGGGCUCGUAGGCGGUUUGUCGCGUCGGGAGUGAAAACCUUGGGCUUAACUCAGGGCUUGCUUUCGAUACGGGCAGACUAGAGGUAUGCAGGGGAGAACGGAAUUCCUGGUGUAGCGGUGAAAUGCGCAGAUAUCAGGAGGAACACCGGUGGCGAAGGCGGCUCGCUGGGCCACACCUGACGCUGAGACGCGAAAGCUAGGGGAGCGAACAGG
rnacentral:rRNA from 1 species